GCAAUCGCGGCCGAGUGGUUAAGGCGAUGGACUCGAAAUCCAUUGGGGUCUCCCCGCACAGGUUCGAAUCCUGUCGACUGCG
rfam:Ixodes scapularis strain Wikel colony gcontig_1108378493538, whole genome shotgun sequence.